rnacentral:rRNA from 1 species
UGGAUCCAGACUUUGAUUCUGGCUCAGGAUGAACGCUAGCUACAGGCUUAACACAUGCAAGUCGAGGGGAAACGACAUCGAAAGCUUGCUUUUGAUGGGCGUCGACCGGCGCACGGGUGAGUAACGCGUAUCCAACCUGCCCAUCACUUGGGGAUAACCUUGCGAAAGUAAGACUAAUACCCAAUGAUAUCUCUAGAAGACAUCUGAAAGAGAUUAAAGAUUUAUCGGUGAUGGAUGGGGAUGCGUCUGAUUAGCUUGUUGGCGGGGUAACGGCCCACCAAGGCGACGAUCAGUAGGGGUUCUGAGAGGAAGGUCCCCCACAUUGGAACUGAGACACGGUCCAAACUCCUACGGGAGGCAGCAGUGAGGAAUAUUGGUCAAUGGACGAGAGUCUGAACCAGCCAAGUAGCGUGCAGGAUGACGGCCCUAUGGGUUGUAAACUGCUUUUAUAAGGGAAUAAAGUGAGAGUCGUGACUCUUUUUGCAUGUACCUUAUGAAUAAGGACCGGCUAAUUCCGUGCCAGCAGCC